AGCCUUAUAUUCAUUUUGUGAUGUUAGAAUGCAAUUCUAAAGGGAUGGGUGUACCAUUAAGGCCU
rnacentral:tRNA from 1 species